rnacentral:rRNA from 1 species
CCUACGGGAGGCAGCAGUGGGGAAUAUUGCACAAUGGGGGAAACCCUGAUGCAGCGACGCCGCGUGAGUGAAGAAGGAUUUCGGUAUGUAAAGCUCUAUCAGCAGGGAAGAAAAUGACGGUACCUGAGUAAGAAGCCCCGGCUAACUACGUGCCAGCAGCCGCGGUAAUACGUAGGGGGCAAGCGUUAUCCGGAUUUACUGGGUGUAAAGGGAGCGGAGACGGCAGCACAAGACUGGAGUGAAAUGCCGGGGCUUAACCCCGGACCUGCUUUGGAAACUGUGCAGCGAGAGUGCAGGAGAGGUAAGUGUAAUUCCUAGUGUAGCGGUGAAAUGCGUAGAUAUUAGGAGGAACACCAGUGGCGAAGGCGGCUUACUGGACUGUAACUGACGUUGAGGCUCGAAAGCGUGGGGAGCAAACAGGAUUAGAUACCCCAGUAGUC